AACGAACGCUGGCGGCAUGCCUAACACAUGCAAGUCGAACGAAACCUUCGGGUCUAGUGGCGCACGGGUGCGUAACGCGUGGGAACCUGCCCUUAGGUUCGGAAUAACUCACCGAAAGGGGUGCUAAUACCGGAUAAUGUCUUCGGACCAAAGAUUUAUCGCCUUUGGAUGGGCCCGCGUUGGAUUAGCUAGUUGGUAGGGUAAAAGCCUACCAAGGCGACGAUCCAUAGCUGGUCGGAGAGGAUGAUCAGCCACACUGGGACUGCGACACGGCCCAGACUCCGACGGGAGGCAGCAGUGGGGAAUAUUGGACAAGGGGCGAAAGCCUGAUCCAGCAAUGCCGCGUGAGUGAUGAAGGCCUUAGGGUUGUAAAGCUCUUUUAGCCGGGAUGAUAAUGACAGUACCGGGAGAAUAAGCUCCGGCUAACUCCGUG
rnacentral:rRNA from 1 species